rnacentral:rRNA from 1 species
UACGUAGGUGGCAAGCGUUGUCCGGAAUUACUGGGUGUAAAGGGAGCGCAGGCGGGAAGCCAAGUCAGCUGUGAAAACUACGGGCUUAACUUGUAGACUGCAGUUGAAACUGGUUUUCUUGAGUGAAGUAGAGGUUGGCGGAAUUCCGAGUGUAGCGGUGAAAUGCGUAGAUAUUCAGAGGAACACCGGUGGCGAAGGCGGCCAACUGGGCUUUAACUGACGCUGAGGCUCGAAAGUGUGGGGAGCAAACAGG